rnacentral:rRNA from 1 species
GCGUCGUACCCACGUCGCUCCCCA